UUUAUUCAGUUUUUAUUGAGUUGAAAUUUUUCAUGUUACUUUAGCUUGAUGAAAUUGUGGUAGUGGUUAUCAUAGAUAGUUAUAUAUCGUGGAGUGAAUAUACAUAAUGUUUGUAUGGAAGGAUGAAUGUGGCGAGUGUGCAUAUAUAAUUGUGGUGUGGUGUGAUCUGAGUGUUUGAUAUAUUUCAUGGCAGAGAGAAGAAAGAACGAAUGAGAGAGAUGUAUGCGAGAACAAUUGAGAGCGGGCAUAGUGACGAGAAACAGUUGUGAUCGGGAAGAUGCAAAGCAUGAGAGACGAGAUAGAGAGUGAAACAAUGAGAGUUAAACAUUCCAUGUGUUUCGUAAUUUAUAUUAAAUCUAUCAAUAAUCAGUGUGUUUGUAAUUCGAUCCACUAACAGAAAUUUCAGACGAAUUCAAGAAAUUCUUUGCGCAUAGACUUCUUACACGUAUACCUAUGUAUCCUUUCAGAGCAUUAUUUCUUCACGAACGAUGAAGAAAUUUUAAACGUUGAGCAUAAACGAAAAGCAGGCUCAAUCAGGCGAUACGGGAGAGAGAAAAAAAGGUUGGGAACCGCUGGUAUAAUGGAUGAAAAUUAAAUUAGACUAUACAGAUGUAUGUAUAUAUAAAAUAUACGUAUUUAUGUAAAUUAAAAUACAAAAAAUUACGUUAUUGUAUUACGAUAUUUAAAUGGAUGGAAAACGAGGUUCGGGAAUUAUAGAAUUAAGUAAUGGAAUUUUACGGGUGAAAUGGGAAUUGGAGGUUGAAGGUUAAAGUGGAAAAUGGCCGACGAUGGAGCCCCUAGAAAGAAAGAACAGAGAGGAAUAAAAGUAUUUGGAAAAGUCAUUUUUAAAUUUAUUGAUUGACGCGCGAGGAUUUGGGUUUUAGGUUAUCUUUCGUUUUAUUUCACGCGGUAAACCUAAACGCAAGGGAAAUCGUUUCAACGUACGCAGCUAGUAGAAAACUGUGUUGAACAACUCGAACAGCUCGUUUAAUGUUCAUUUAAUAUUCUUAAUUCUGGUAGUUAAUUAAAUGAAUUAGAGUGGCCUCCUCGAGAAGAAAGAAUGAAACUGUCGUCAGCGAUAAUUGUCGUUACCGAUGUUCCCUUCCUCGUUUUCAACGCACUUGUUUGUCCAUUUAACCCUGUGAUAAUUGGCACAAUUGCCGGAAUUAUGUCGCGUAACAGCCAUUUGAAAAAGAAGAUACGAAUGAGAAGAUUAUUAAUUAGCCGUGGAUUAAAUCAAGACGUACGCAUAUACAUACGUAGAUACAUACGCACGUGUUUUCCAAGAAAUCCUCGCUCCCUUGCAACCCUAUUCUUCUCUCUCAGUUUUAUUCGCGUGGAUGGCCGUUCACGCUCCAGAAUCUCCUACGUUUCUCUCUCAUUUCGUCAAAUCGAACAUUUCCUCAUCGUGUUAUCGUACUGUAUCAUUUAUAUAUUCGACAUAUUUCCAUGUCAUUUCUUGUACAAAUAAAUCAAUCCCAUUUUAA